GCCAGCAGCUAUAUCAUCCUGCAGCUCUCAACUGGCUACCCACUGAAACUAAGCAGGAUUGAGUCUGGUCAGUACCUGGAUGGGAAACCUCCUGGGAAGCUGUGGUUGCUGCUGGAA
rnacentral:rRNA from 1 species